UCUCCUCAAAGUCUUUUUGCACCCAUCUCUCUCGUCGAGCUCGCAUCUUUCUCCUCUUCCUUUUCAUUUGUUUCCCUUCUGCCUUUCGCUCUUAUCUCUCUCUCUCUGCAACUCUCAUUCCUCCGAAAAUUUCUCACUUGUUUUCAUUUCUGGUGAGCUUUCAAGAGACACGAGAACACAAGCCCACCACCCAAUACCCGGAAAAAGGAAAAAAGAGAGGAAGAGAAACGAAAUCAUCUCGUUCACCAUCCAAGCCAAGUAGUGGGUUUGCUGCAGAAAUAUUCCAUGACUUGCAUGGAGAAGUGAUGGCGACUGCUACAAAGAGGACAUGGUCUAAUGGCUCGCGUUCAACAACUGGAAGCAGAAUUUCCUCCCAUUGUGAAGGCACUCUUGUCACAAACUAAUCUUCAUUUUUCUGAAACAGAAUUUCCUCCCAUUGAGAAGACACUCUUGUCACAAACUAAUCUUCAUUUUUCUGCAAUGCCGGUGUUGAUUGGCAUCCCAAUUUGCGUUAUGAACAAAAUCUAAUUGCCUGUGGAGACUUGCCUCGCUUUGUAAUGGACUCUAAUGAGGAGGCCCAGGGCCCACCGCGGUUAUUCCUUUUGUACAAGAGCAUGUGAUAAUGAUCCAUCGUUCUUCAAGAUAGAAGCAACAUCAUUUGUAAUCACAACUGUAGAGAUUCAGCGAGAAAAGAAGAACCGCAAAGUGAAGGUAUUAUAAUGAAAUGACUGUCACUGCAAUAAACAUACAAACUUUUGUGGCAAUGUGGGAAGUUAAAGAUUAUUAAACUAUUUAAAAUUGUAACACAUCUAUUUAUAUUUGUCUCCAAAUAUGAAUACUUAGAAGACCUAAUUAUGUAGAUUUUGAGUAAAAUCAAAACU